CCUACGGGGGGCAGCAGUGGGGAAUAUUGGACAAUGGGGGCAACCCUGAUCCAGCCAUGCCGCGUGUGUGAAGAAGGCCCUCGGGUUGUAAAGCACUUUCAGUGAGGAAGAACGCCUGGUGGUUAAUACCCAUCAGGAAAGACAUCACUCACAGAAGAAGCACCGGCUAACUCCGUGCCAGCAGCCGCGGUAAUACGGAGGGUGCGAGCAUUAAUCGGAAUUACUGGGCGUAAAGCGCGCGUAGGUGGCUUGAUAAGCCGGUUGUGAAAGCCCCGGGCUCAACCUGGGAACGGCAUCCGGAACUGUCAAGCUAGAGUGCAGGAGAGGAAGGUAGAAUUCCCGGUGUAGCGGUGAAAUGCGUAGAGAUCGGGAGGAAUACCAGUGGCGAAGGCGGCCUUCUGGACUGACACUGACACUGAGGUGCGAAAGCGUGGGUAGCAAACAGGAUUAGAUACCCUGGUAGUC
rnacentral:rRNA from 1 species